CGUGUAGGCGGUCAGAUAAGUGGAAUGUGAAAUGCCCCGGCUCACCCGGGGACCGGCAUCCCAAACUGCCUGGCUUGAGUAUGGGAGAGGAUGGAGGAAUUCCUGGUGUAGCGGUGAAAUGCGUAGAUAUCAGGAGGAACACCGGUGGCGAAGGCGUCCAUCUGGCCCAAUACUGACGCUGAGGCGCGAAAGCUAGGGGAGCAAACGG
rnacentral:rRNA from 1 species